GGCAGUUACAUGCCCUUCCAACUGUAACAGACACAGGAGCUGCCGAGUGGAGGGCAGCGUCAGCGGAGGCAGUGUGUAUAGCGCAGACUAACUUUCGGAAAUGUUCUCUCUAAGACCAUACUAAAUGAAGCGUAAAGACAUAAAUAAGAUGUCAAGAAUAAUAGAGAUAAUGUGUGAAAGGAUUGUUAGAGAGUAUUACAUGCUCUUUCUAAAUUAGUUACAACUGAACAUUGAUGUAUAUGGAAUACAAAAUGGGAUACGCCACUGGAAUGUCGGCACAAUAGCAAGCAAACAAAUUCUUCUCAGACUGGUGUGCAUUUAAAUUAAUUUGCUGGAGGAGAGGCUGAAGGCAUCAGACAGUGAACACAAGGAAGAAAGGGUUUUGGAGAAUGCACGUUACAUGCCCAGCAAUGGAACACUAUUAAAUAAUACAUAAAGGGACAAAAA